rnacentral:rRNA from 1 species
UACGGGAGGCAGCAGUGGGGAAUAUUGCACAAUGGGCGAAAGCCUGAUGCAGCUAUGCCUCGUGUAUGAAGAAGGCCUUUAGGGUUGUAAAGUACUUUCAUCGGGGAGGAAAAAACAAAACUAAUAAUUUUAUUUCUUGACGUUACCCGAAAAAGAAGCACCGGCUAACUCCGUGCCAGCAGCCGCGGUAAUACGGAGGGUGCUAGCGUUAAUCAGAAUUACUGGGCGUAAAGAGCACGUAGGUGGUUUUUUUAAGUCAGAUGUGAAAUCCCUGGGCUUAACCUGGAACUGCAUUUUGAAACUGAAAUACUAGAGUAUCGUAGAGGGAGGUAGAAUUCUAGGUGUAGCGGUGAAAUGCGUAGAUAUCUGGAGGAAUACCUGUGGCGAAAGCGGCCUCCUAAACGAAUACUGACACUGAGGGUGCGAAAGCGUGGGGAGCAAACAGGGAUUAGAUACC